rnacentral:misc_RNA from 1 species
AUUUAUUUAUUUAUUUUUAAAUACGUAGAGUAGAACCAGUGGCUUGCAGCAAAUUAAACAACAGGUCUUUUUUAAUCAUGUACCAGGAUACAUGGACUGGAAUCAAAUAGAUUGUGCAUCUGAAUCAGACAACUCAGUUUUGUUAAGACGACUUAUCGUAGAAAACAAGUCAUUUAUAUAUAGGCUAUAGCUAAUCGUUGUCCAUCAUCAUUCAUCAACCAAGAAGACAAUUUGGUAAGAAUGUGUUUGUGUGUGU